UACGGGGGGGGCAAGCGUUGUUCGGAAUUACUGGGCGUAAAGGGCUCGUAGGUGGCCAACUAAGUCGGACGUGAAAUCCCUCGGCUUAACCGGGGAACUGCGUCCGAUACUGGAUGGCUUGAGUUUGGGAGAGGGAUGCGGAAUUCCAGGUGUAGCGGUGAAAUGCGUAGAUAUCUGGAGGAACACCGGUGGCGAAGGCGGCAUCCUGGACCAACACUGACACUGAGGAGCGAAAGCCAGGGGAGGCAAACGGGG
rnacentral:rRNA from 1 species